rnacentral:lncRNA from 1 species
CAUUUUUAAUUGAUGUGGGAUUUUUAUCCCUUAACAUGCCCCUGCAAGAUGAUGGCUCGUUUGAGCAGACCAAUAUUGAAAUCCAUAUGCUCAUUUAUUGAGUCUUAUUGCUAUUGUUCAUAGUGCAGCUCUAUAAACUGUUGUUCUAAAAAAACUCCUUAUAGCCUACAAAUAAUAGCCCCACAUUCAGCUCGCUAUAAACAUUCACAUAUAUACCAGCCGAAAGGCCAAACCUCACAACACACAAACCUUAUAGCCAACUAAACACCAUGUACAAGGCUUGUGACGUCCCAAGCUAUGGGGGCUCGUGACAUUUCAAGGACCUUGAAUUUGUAAAACUCUGUCUAAAUGGUUUAUGAAAUGCGAAAAUUUAAGUUGUACUAAAAGCAUUAAGGCUUCAGAGAACUUGUUACGAAGUUAAAGAAAUUUUCUUUCGAAAAGUAUAGAUUUUCAGCUUGUACGACUUUCUUAAAUAAAUCCCGUUCGACAUCCAAAUGAAAUCCAAAAUCUAGAAAAUUUAAAUUGUAGUCAUUUUAUACCUAGGAAAAUUUCAGGUUAAAAUUUUGUGAACAAAUUCAAUUGAUAGAUCGGCCAAAAUUAUUUCCAAAACAGGAUCUAUUGUUCUCGAAUAAUUUCGGGCAAUUCUCGGGAAAACGUUCAUAACUUGAGUUUUAAACAUCCAAAGUUCGUGAUUCAAGUUUGCUGGGAGUAUGGGAAUCAGGAAGAACAUAAGAAACACAACCAAAGGUUCUUCGAUGGGAAAGCUUAACCUCUUUUCCGCUCUAGGCCUCCUCAGGGAGUCUAUACUCCAAUAGGACAGAUGUUCCACGAUUGAUCAGGUAAAUUGCAGUGUUAAUUGCCAUCUACCCAGAAUGUAGGUAGUAGCCCUACAUGCAACCUCAUACUUCUAGCGCGUUCAUUGAUGAUUCUGCUCAUGUGUUCAGUGACACCAUUUUGUUGUGAUGUCCCAAGGAUGGUCUUCUCUAUUCUGAUACCAUGAACUGCACAGUACUCCUUGAGUUCUCCAUUAAUGUAUUCUCCACCAUUAUCUGACCUUAAGCAUUUUAGCUUCAAGUUUGUCUUUUUCUCAACUAGGGCCUUUCACUUUUUGAACAAAUCAAAUACUUCAGAUUUAAAUUUUAGAAAAUAGACCCACACCUUUCUGCUAUGAUCGUCGAUGAAUGUGAUGUAGUAUCGGGAACCUCCAAGAGACGCCACUGGAGAGGGUCCCCAAACAUCUGUGUGCACAAGAUCUAGCUUUUCUAACUUUAAAGCUCUGCCACUCUUCAAGAAACUGACCGUCUUUUGCUUCCCAAGUAUACAGCUCUCACACGUCCCCAAAUCAACUGACUUUAGCUCUGGUAGUUUUCCUUUUGACAGAAGUUCCUUCAUGCCUUUUUUACUCAUAUUGCCAAGCCUACUGUGCCACAACUCUGCGGUGCUACUACUAUAGUGGUAGCAAUAGUGUCAUUAGAACUGUCAGUCAUUUAUAGAGUACCAGUCUUCUUGCUUUGAGCCAAUACCAUUGCUCAUUUAGUGACCUACCAGAUGCUAUUUGAGAACAUUACUGAAUGACUCGAGUCGUCGAGCUACCCUAUGAAAAUUAAGUUUUUCUUCAACUCGAGAAUGUGUCUAACCUUCUGCAAUGUCCACAUGUUCCCAUUAGAAAAUGAAAUGUCAAUAUCUCCAAUUCCCACAAUGUUCAAUGCUUGUCCAUUAGCCAAGUAUUCUUUUCCAAAAUCACUGGCAACGUAGUUUUUCAUGAUCUCCCGAUGAGAAGAGGUGUGAAAGGAUGCCCAUGAAUCUAAUAUUCAAUCAUCAACAGAGCUGUGAACUGCAAGUAGUAACGCAUCUUGUAUUUCUUCAGUUGUGUUCGUGCCGUCAGUUUUUAUCUUCUUUGGAUUUCUACAGUUUUUCUUUAUGUGGCCUGUUUUGCUAUAGUUCCAGCAGGUUGCCUAUUGUCCAGGCCUUAAUUUACUCCUGCUCAUGUUCCUCGACUUUGAUCUUCCUCUAUUUGAGUUCCUGUCAUGUAACCUUCCACGAGCAUCAACAUUUAGAGUGGAACUUGAUCACAAGGUUUCACCAGAGUCUUUCCUGCGGACCUCCUCAGCCAAAAUUAAAUCACGAAUAUUGUCGUAUUUUAAUAUCAUCUUACCAGCAGAGUUACUAACAGCCAUUCUCAUGGCUUCCCAACUAUUUGGCAAAGAUGCCAACAAUCUUAGAGCCCAAAUCUCAUUAUCAAAUUCAAUUUCUUUAGAUGAUAAUUGAUUAGUGAUGGUAUUAAACUCAUUCAGAUAUUGGGCAACAGAUGCACCCUCCGCCAUAUUUAGAUUGAAUAAUUUUUUCAUCAAGUGCACUUUGUUGUUAGCAGACGAUUUUUCAUUCAUACCUGACAAAACCACCAUAAGGUUUGUAGUGGUCUUCUCCUUGGUGACGUUGUGUGCAACUGUUCUUGAAAGUGUCAGUCGAAUGACUCCCAAGACCUGACGAUCUAGUAGUUUCCAAUCAGCAUCUGUCAUGUUGUCUGGUUUCUUCCCUAAUAGUGGAAGGUGAAGUUUCUUACCAUAGAGGUAGUCUUCUAUUUGCAUCUUCCAGUAUCCAUAAUAUGUGCCAUCAAACUUCUCAAUACCAGAUACCUUCACUUCUUCUCUAGCCAUCAUUUUUUCUCGCAGACCCGAACCUGACUCUAAUACCAAUUGCUGGGAGUAGUUUGAAAACAAUGGCAGUAGAAUAAAACUAGAAGAAAAUAAUCACAGCAUAAGAAUUCACAAACUGCAGAGGAUUUUAUUGCCUGAGGAAUUACACACACGCACACAGCCUUUUGAAGUUCUCAGAGAUAUAUAUAUAUACACACAUCAACGUGUAAAAGACAGAAGCCCUACUAUUCUUGGACUUGGACUUGGGUAGACAUGAUCUAAGCUCCACGGAAAAAGGCCCAACAUCUAAAACAUAAGAAUAAAUUUCUCUAAAAAUAGUGCAUGCCAUUUAAGCCAACCACCAUCAUAUCUCCGAUUACUUUGAAAAGGGCUCAAUAGGGGUGAGCAUCUCAAAAAAAUUACUUAGUAGGCUACACAUGCUACAUAACCAUAAUAAUCAUAUAUGUAAUCAUGCAUUCUUACAUGUUGUAUUCAUAAAUAAAUAAAUCGAUGAUCAAACGAUCCGCUUAAGGUUCUGAUGACCCUUUACAACCAUCAAUUUAACAUUUAUACUUAAGGUUCUGAUGAGCCUCUGUGACCAUCAGUUUAAAUAUAUAUAACCUUUCAUCGUCAAAAUUUAAAAGAGAACUCUAAAGGCACUUCAUAUACUUCAUGCAAAUAUAACGAAUAACAUGCUAAACUAAAAAUUAAAUUCAUGUAACGACAACUUCGCGUAAGGAUCCUACCUUAAUUCGUGGUGAUGACGUAGUCGUUGAAUCGAAAUUUUAUUUUUUCCAACACUUUUCUAAAGAUUAGAGGUAAAAUUGGAAUUUUCCUUCUCUGCCAUAUUUCUUUGGAGAUUAUGAAAAUUGGAAGCUGUGUCCAUAGAAAGUUGGAUGAAAAUUAAAUUAAAGAUAGUAGAAUUUGGAUAGGAAUAGGUUUCUUAUUAGAGGAU